rnacentral:rRNA from 1 species
UACGGGGGGAGCAAGCGUUGUUCGGAUUUACUGGGCGUAAAGGGCGCGUAGGCGGUCGUGACAAGUCACUUGUGAAAUCUCCGGGCUUAACUCGGAACGGUCAAGUGAUACUGUCGGACUAGAGUACAGAAGGGGCAACUGGAAUUCUCGGUGUAGCGGUGAAAUGCGUAGAUAUCGAGAGGAACACCUGCGGCGAAGGCGGGUUGCUGGGCUGAUACUGACGCUGAGAUGCGAAAGCGUGGGGAGCAAGCAGG